UGCCUUACCCAUGCAAGUCGAACGGUAACGCGGGGCAACCUGGCGACGAGUGGCGAACGGGUGAGUAAAGCAUCGGAACGUGCCCAGUAGUGGGGGAUAGCCCGGCGAAAGCCGGAUUAAUACCGCAUACGACCUACGGGUGAAAGGGGGGGAUCGCAAGACCUCUCGCUAUUGGAGCGGCCGAUGUCAGAUUAGCUAGUUGGUGGGGUAAAGGCCUACCAAGGCGACGAUCUGUAGCUGGUCUGAGAGGACGACCAGCCACACUGGGACUGAGACACGGCCCAGACUCCUACGGGAGGCAGCAGUGGGGAAUUUUGGACAAUGGACGAAAGUCUGAUCCAGCCAUGCCGCGUGCGGGAAGAAGGCCUUCGGGUUGUAAACCGC
rnacentral:rRNA from 1 species